rnacentral:lncRNA from 1 species
UCCUUCUUCUUGUAUCCUUUGACAAUGGGGAAUUUCUUGUGGUGCAUCCUUUUUAGGCCUUCAUGGAAGUCAAUGCCAUCUAUGAACGAGAACCCUUCGGAUUUGAAACCUAGGGCUUGGUUGAUGUCCUCAACCUUUAGCUUGAUUUCCACGUCCUUGACUUUCGUCGUGAUGACCUCAUUUUCGAACACUCCAUUCCUGUAAAACUCCUUUAUAAGCUUCGGG